UGGGGAAUAUUGCACAAUGGAGGGAACUCUGAUGCAGCGACGCCGCGUGAACGAAGAAGGCUUUCGAGUCGUAAAGUUCUUUUAUAUGGGAAGAUAAUGACGGUACCAUAAGAAGAAGCCCCGGCUAACUACGUGCCAGCAGCCGCGGUAAUACGUAGGGGGCUAGCGUUGUCCGGAAUCACUGGGCGUAAAGGGUUCGCAGGCGGAAAUGCAAGUCAGGUGUAAAAGGCAGUAGCUUAACUACUGUAAGCAUUUGAAACUGCAUAUCUUGAGAAGAGUAGAGGUAAGUGGAAUUUUUAGUGUAGCGGUGAAAUGCGUAGAUAUUAAAAAGAAUACCGGUGGCGAAGGCGACUUACUGGGCUCAUUCUGACGCUGAGGAGCGAAAGCGUGGGUAGCAAACAGG
rnacentral:rRNA from 1 species